AGAGCCUGGAACUCACUGAACUGUGGGAGUGAAAGAGCUGUAACUCUCCUGCUCUCUGAUCUAUGGACAGGGGGACUAAAAGAGCUAUAACACUCCUGCCUUGCAAACUACAGUAGUAAAAAAGAAACACAAAAGUACCAUCAAAAGUUUCUGGUGAAAAUUGAAUUACCAAAAACAUUGAAAGUGCUUAAAACAGUACCUGCAACAUAGUAAGAGCUCAACAAACGUUAUUCAUUUAUGUUCAUAAUUUGGAUUGAUAAAUUACCCUACUGAAAAAUAAAUACUUUCAGAUUGAAUUUAAAAGCAAUAAUAAAAUCUCUUGAUGCUUAAAAGAGAUGAACAAGACAGCAAAUAAACUUCAAUGCUGAAAAUAAGAACAAUAUACAAAUUUUUAUCAAGGAAAUCUCAGGGACCCUGUAAACAGUCGUUCUGUUCAUAUUUGUUGUUGUUUCUUUAGAGGAGGGCAUCUAGGCAAUAAGAAAACUGGAAUGUGAAAUCUAUCUACUUUUCUGUUUCCAAAGCUCAGAAUUAUGUUAAUUUUACUGAACCAACUAACAGGAGGGGUGACUUUUUGUCAUUUAUAGAAAAGCAUUAUAGAUAAUAUUCAGGGGAUUCACUAAAAUAACAAGACACUCUGUGCAAUUGCCUAUUGGUAUUUGAGUUCCAGUGUAAAACCUAAAAUAAUUUGUUUAAAGUUAAAACAGUAUAACAACAUGACUUUAAAAGUUAUUACUUCACAUUCCAAGAUCAGAGAUCCUACCAUCUCUGGGGCCUGCCAAAAGUCGAUGAUACAGUCAUUUCAGCAGAAUCAUUCACUUGAUUACAUAAAGGGAAGAUUGGGAAAGAAAAGAUGGUGACUUUUGAGGAGAGUGCAGAGUGCCUAAAGGAAGAUCAUUGUGCUUCUCUAUCUGCUGUGAUAAAGGGGAGAGAGGGACACUUCUCUCUAGCAAAAGAUCUGCUUCUUCUGGACUUUGGACACAAGCUUAGGAAAGAAUUGGCAGAGCUGAUAGAGAGUGUCAUUAGCAGAAGCAUGCAUUUCCACCAUGUGGUUUGAAAAGUACCUAUGAAAUUUGCUGGGUUUGAUGGACGCCACUGAGGGGAACCUGACUUGAAGCAUCUUACUACUGCCCCUCCUGGAACCACUCUGUGCAUAGGAAUACUCAACUGAUGACAAUGAGUGAUUUAUGACACAACUGAAAAGAGAAGGAAGAAGCCGAGCCUAUGCUGGGAAUUCUAUGCCCAGAGUCUGCAUAGUGUACAGCUUUAUAAAACCCCUAAAUGUGUCUGACACAGAGUUUUCAUUUGGACUUGCAGCCUUAGGAAGGAGCAACAGCCUGCAGAAAUUCUUGUGAUAUUUUCAACGUACUUUAAGUGAGACACUGAAAAUUUGCUACUCUCCCAAUAAUAUUACGAAUUAUGAAGUCAUGACUCAUCUUUUCCAUUAUAUAGCUUUAUGAAAUUCACUUAAAGAUGAUUAUUUAAAAGCGUGUUUAGUAGGUAAGAAUAUACUAAGAAGAUAUUAUUAAAUGGUUUAAUUAUAUCAUGAAUCCUUUUAUAGUUUAGGAAUGUUAUUUUUAAUUAGCAAUUCUAGACAUGACUGGAUGGUGAGAACCAAGAUCAUAAUGCCAGCUGUGUUUGGCUAGCAUUAGAUGUGAUCUUCUGUUGAUCUUGGUUUGAGCCUUAAUCUUAUCCUCCUUUGUUGCUAUUGGAUGGUAAAAGCACCAUAAUGUUGAUCGUGCCAAAAAGGAAUAUUUAAACACUAACACUGCUCAAAGGUCUGAGAACUUAAGCUAACAAAAUUAUGGUUCUUUUUUUCCUCUCUUUCUGGCAUUUGGUUAAAUAGCUUCUAAUUACCCAAUUUGGGAGAAGUUCUGAAACCAUGUCCCAAAGAGUUAAAGCAACCAGUGACUAACAGAAAUUCUUGAGUUUGCAGAAUGGUGGAUAAGAAAGGAAACAACUUGCUAAAACACUGAAACUCCCUCCACUUAUGAGAUAAAAGAACUGGCUGAAAUCAGUUUGGUCAACUGGAGUUUGUGCGGAAGUAGCUUGCUGACAUCAUAGCCUGAAUUUUCAUUGCAUGUCUCAUACCAACUCCCUCCAGAAUCUGCACAUGCAAAUGAGUUAGCAUAAAAAAGGUAACUGUGCAUGCCCAAGGACUUUCCAGACCUCUCCUUUCCUUCCACCAAUAAAACCUGAUAAUCUCAGAAUCCAACCCCUGAAUCUUUUCUAAUGAAAAUAUAGUCUUGAAGCCAGCACAGGGAGACAGCUUGGAGCUUGACUCCUGUCUCCUCGGGAGUGGACUUUCAAUAUAAAGCUUUUCUGUCCUCAAAAACCUGGUAUAGUAUUGGCUUCUAGCGUAUUCAGCAGCAAGCCCCUUUUGCUUGAUAAAGUUCCAGGAUCCUUCCUGCCAGAGGUUUUGCAUGUCCCUCUUUUUCCAUUGCUUCUCUUGGCCCCUAACAUCUGUUCAUCUCAUUAACUCUUACUCUGUUUUUCAAUUCAAAAACAAUAAUAGCUUUAAAGAAACAUUCCUAACCUUCUCAAAUGCAUUCGUUUUUCUAAUGUAUACUUUAAUAGAACAAUGUACUUCUUCCUCUCAUCUCUCUCACAACAUAAAUUUACCCUAGUGUGAUUUGGUGAUAAAUAUCUGUCACUAUACUAGAUUGUAUAUUCAAGUCAUGUGGAGAAUGUGUCUGUUUUCGUUCAUGAUGGUGUCUACAUUAAAUAAUCCAAUGUGACAAGAAAUAUUUGUUCAAUGAAUGAGCUCCCUGAUGAAUGGAUAAAAUGAUGCUCUGAUAUGUAUGAAUGUUGAUAUUAGACACACUUAUCAAUUAUAUGUACUGUAAAUAGCAUGUAGUAGCAUUUCAAUGAGUAUUUGCUGAUUGACAGAUUUGACUAUCAAUCCCUGCUCUGAUUUCCUUUUGGGAUUUGAUUAUAUUCUUUGUACCCCUUCCAGCUUUAUUAAAGUAUAAUUGACAAAUAAGAUUGAAUGCAUU
rnacentral:lncRNA from 10 species